UGAGCCCAGGGGGUAGAGGCUGCCGUGAGCUGCGAUCACUCCACUGCACUCCAGGUGACAGAGUGAGACCCUGUCUCACACAAAGCCAAUUCAUUUGAGCUGAGGCUUGACUGUACUUUUAAUUGCCCACAUAGAAAAGAGGAAAAAUAAUGCUUUUCAUCUUUUAAAAUAUUCCAUUUACCUUUUAGUAAGACAAAUUCUUAUCUUUAUGUAAAACUGUGAAAGAACAGUUACAUAGAUUAUUGCAGCUUAGAUUAUUUUCAACAAGUUUAAAUUCCACACGUAAGGAUACAUACCAUUUUUACCAGCUAUACUUUAAAAUGUCAGUCUUUAAAAAUUCUUCUAUGUGUAUAUGUGGUUUCUUCUUCUUUUCAAAAAUUCAUGCCUGUGAAGUUUUUAGGAAUAUUUUUCAAAACUUCAGUACUGAAGCAUUAACUUUUUAUGUGAUAUAGCACCUUUAAAUUUGUGUUUUUAUUCACACAAGAGCAUUAUUGUACAUUUAAUCAUUUCUUUUGCUAGUAUUUAUAAUCUCAGCGAAUAGGAUAGCAGCAUAGUACCUAAAUUAAACUAUUAGGAAUAACUGGAUGCCUACCACAGCAACAGAACUUUAAUGAGGUUAAUUAUUACACACAUAUCCAUUCCAACACAGCAGUGCAUAUUUUACAUGACCAGCCCCUUAUGUAGUUAAAAAUAAAACUGCAGUUUUAAAAUGUCAAGUUCCUCAACCUUACUGGAUUUUAAAACAAAACAAACAAGAGAAACAAGGAUUUUCUAAUCUAUCUACAAGCAGAAAUGCCAGAAAAUAAAGCUGCAGUAUUCCAUAGAGCUCAAAUUUCCUUUUCUAAGUCAUGACAUUUCUCUUUCAUUCUCUCUGUUUUCUUUUUCUUCUAAGAUAAGAAAAUGUAAAACAUAAAUGAAAAGAUAAAAACUGCUUAAUAUGGCAAGGAACAAGAAUGAAACUAGAUUUUUUUUUUUUUAGUAAAGAGGCAAAUUUUAUACAACCGUAAAAAUUAAAAAUGAAAAACAAUAAUAGAAAUAGCAUAAUGCUACAGACUAUCCCAGUUUCCUGGGCUCUGAAGAAGAGCUGCUAUACUAAAUACUAACUUUAUUUAUCUGAAGUAUUCAAUACCUUCUGAUAACCCAAGCAGCAUUAUAUUAAUAG